AAGCCAUGAUGAGGGCAUUGGUUGGUGUAACCCUUGAAACGCUCUCAUGCUUCAGAUAAGCUUUCACCUGCCUUUUCUAAAACGCCAAAGAUCUCAUUUCUGAGUCU